CCUACGGGUGGCAGCAGUGAGGAAUAUUGGUCAAUGGGCUUACGCCUGAACCAGCGAAGUCGCGUGAGGGAAGACUGCCCUAUGAGUUGUAACCCUCUUUUGUCAGGGAGCACUUGGACCUACGUGUACCGUUAUCGAGAGUACCUGCAAACAAAGCAUCGGCUAACUACGUGCCAGCAGCCGCGGUAGUACGUAGGAGGCGAGCGUGAUCCGGAUUGAUUGGGUUUACAGGGUGCGUAGGGGGAAUGCCAGGUCAGCGUGAAAACCGCGGGGCUCAACCCCAUCCAGCCGUUGAAACUGGGGAUCUAGAGUGUGUGAGAGGUAUGCGGAAUGCGAGGUGUAGCGGUGAAAUGCAUAGAUAUCACGCAGAACCCCGAUGGCGAAGGCAGCAUACCGGUGCACAACUGACGCUCAGGCACGAAAGCGUGGGUAGCGAACAGGAUUAGAUACCCUUGUAGUC
rnacentral:rRNA from 1 species